rnacentral:rRNA from 1 species
AGGGAUACGCCCAGAAGUAAAUUUGAUUAAUACCUCAUAGUAUAGUACUUUGGCAUCAAGGAACUAUUAAAGUCACAACGGCAAAAAGAUGAGCACGCGUCCCAUUAGCUAGUUGGUAAGGUAACGGCUUACCAAGGCUACGAUGGGUAGGGGUUCUGAGAGGGAGAUCCCCCACACUGGUACUGAGACACGGACCAGACUCCUACGGGAGGCAGCAGUGAGGAAUAUUGGACAAUGGGCGCAAGCCUGAUCCAGCCAUGCCGCGUGCAGGAUGACGGUCCUAUGGAUUGUAAACUGCUUUUAUACAGGAAGAAACACUCCGACGUGUCGGAGCUUGACGGUACUGUAAGAAUAAGGAUCGGCUAACUCCGUG